rnacentral:rRNA from 1 species
CCUACGGGUGGCAGCAGUCGAGAAUCAUUCACAAUGGGGGAAACCCUGAUGGUGCGACGCCGCGUGGGGGAAUGAAGGUCUUCGGAUUGUAAGCCCCUGUCAUGUGGGAGCAAAUUAAAAAGAUAGUACCACAAGAGGAAGAGCCGGCUAACUCUGUGCCAGCAGCCGCGGUAAUACAGAGGUCUCAAGCGUUGUUCGGAAUCACUGGGCGUAAAGCGUGCGUAGGCUGUUUCGUAAGUCGUGUGUGAAAGGCGCGGGCUCAACCCGCGGACGGCACAUGAUACUGCGAGACUAGAGUAAGGGAGGGGGAACCGGAAUUCUCGGUGUAGCAGUGAAAUGCGUAGAUAUCGAGAGGAACACUCGUGGCGAAGGCGGGUUCCUGGACAUUAACUGACGCUGAGGCACGAAGGCCAGGGGAGCGAAAGGGAUUAGAUACCCCGGUAGUC